CCCCCCGCAUUCCCGGGGCGUCUCGUCCUACCGCGGCUCGUCCGCGGAAGGUGAGGCGCACCAAGAGCGCACACGUUGGUACCCGAAAGAUGGUGAACUAUGCCUGGCCAGGACGAAGCCAGGGGAAACCCUGGUGGAGGUCCGUAGCGAUUCUGACGUGCAAAUCGAUCGUCAGAGCUGGGUAUAGGGGCGAAAGACUAAUCGAACCAUCUAGUAGCUGGUUCCCUCCGAAGUUUCCCUCAGGAUAGCUGGCGCUCGUAGAACCGAGUCCCAUGCGGUAAAGCGAAUGAUUAGAGGCUAUGGGGUCGAAACGAUCUCAACCUAUCCUCAAACUCUAAAUGCGUGGGAACAACAUCUUGCUUAAAAAGUGAAGUUGUUGCUUCGGAUCGGAGUGCCCAGUGGGCCACUUUUGGUAAGCAGAACUGGCGCUGUGGGAUGAACCAAACGCCGGGUUAAGGCGCCCGAAUGAACGCUCAUGUGAAACCAUGAAAGGUGUUGGUUGCUUAAGACAGCAGGAC
rnacentral:rRNA from 1 species